CCUACGGGGGGCUGCAGUGGGGAAUAUUGGACAAUGGGGGGAACCCUGAUCCAGCCAUGCCGCGUGUGUGAAGAAGGCCCUCGGGUUGUAAAGCACUUUCAGUGAGGAAGAACGCCUGGUGGUUAAUACCCAUCAGGAAAGACAUCACUCACAGAAGAAGCACCGGCUAACUCCGUGCCAGCAGCCGCGGUAAUACGGAGGGUGCGAGCGUUAAUCGGAAUUACUGGGCGUAAAGCGCGCGUAGGUGGCUUGAUAAGCCGGUUGUGAAAGCCCCGGGCUCAACCUGGGAACGGCAUCCGGAACUGUCAAGCUAGAGUGCAGGAGAGGAAGGUAGAAUUCCCGGUGUAGCGGUGAAAUGCGUAGAGAUCGGGAGGAAUACCAGUGGCGAAGGCGGCCUUCUGGACUGAAACUGACACUGGGGUGCGAAAGCGUGGGUAGCAAACAGGAUUAGAUACCCUAGUAGUC
rnacentral:rRNA from 1 species